AGCGAACGCUGGCGGCAGGCCUAACACAUGCAAGUCGAACGAACCUUUCGGGGUUAGUGGCGGACGGGUGAGUAACACGUGGGAACGUGCCUUUAGGUUCGGAAUAACUCAGGGAAACUUGUGCUAAUACCGAAUGUGCCCUUCGGGGGAAAGAUUUAUCGCCUUUAGAGCGGCCCGCGUCUGAUUAGCUAGUUGGUUGAGGUAAUGGCUCACCAAGGCGACGAUCAGUAGCUGGUCUGAGAGGAUGAUCAGCCACAUUGGGACUGAGACACGGCCCAAACUCCUACGGGAGGCAGCAGUGGGGAAUCUUGCGCAAUGGGCGAAAGCCUGACGCAGCCAUGCCGCGUGAAUGAUGAAGGUCUUAGGAUUGUAAAAUUCUUUCACCGGGGACGAUAAUGGCGGUACCCGGAGAAGAAGCCCCGGCUAACUUCGU
rnacentral:rRNA from 1 species